rfam:Pteropus alecto contig98934, whole genome shotgun sequence.
AUCUACGGCCAUUCCAUCCUGAAUAUGCCCGAUCUCGUCUGAUCUCAGAAGCUAAGCAGGAUCGGGCCUGGUUAGUCCUUGGAUGGGAGACCACCUAGGAAGACCAGGUGCUGUAGGCU